AUGAAUCCAUCACCAAGAACCCCAACAGUGGCUGUGUUGUAAGUGGAAAGAGUAGGACCCACGGUUAAUGACCCCGAAAUGACCGUUUUGCCCAUAUUGCCCAUCCCAUCUCCCAAAAACACAACAUUCUUCUUCUCCAACGGAAUUCUAACGAUCUCGUUAUAAACUCCAGCCUUUAUGUAUACCACAAACUUUUUGUUCGCCUGAUUAUCAGGUGCUGCAUUUACAGCCUCCUGCACCGUUUUAUAACACCCGCCACUCCCAUCCUUGCAAACUGUAACGUCCGCCGUUAAAUUCGACGGGAACCCGCCAUUGAAUCCCAAGUUGCCGCCCGACCCGGGAGUUUCCCAAAACCCGUCCCGCUCCGUCUUUGGUGUGGUCCACGACUCGGUUUGGUUCCCGUGAAUGUCGUAGGCCAUAAGCAAGCUUAAGGCAUUGCUGCUAAUCAUGAUAAGCGUAUUCAAAAACGACAUCGUUUCGUUAGUCUGCGACGUGUCGUUUGCGUACUUGAAAGCGCUCCAGCAAUCGUACUGAAAAAUCAUUGCCGCGCCCAUCCAAGCCCUGGCGUCCUUGUUCCUGCCACGUGGCAAAGCAUCUAGCGUUGAUGAGAUACGGUAUUGGGAAUUGCCGAGUAGUUCUAUGCAGUUUUUACCUGCGUUGGUGCGAUUUAAACUACCGGUGGAGUUGGCUAGAAUGGACUUAACCAUUGAUUGAGCAGUUUGGAGAUUGGCAGCGGAUAAAGAAAUAGCCGAUUGGACAAUUUGAAGCGGGGUUGGGUUUUGAGGGACCUGUUUGGAAUCGGCAAAAGAUGAUACACAGACAUCUGGGAACCUCGUUGAGUUACAAGCUUGGGAGAUCUCAGGUGGGGUACCGGUGGCCACUGAUGAUGGUUCCGAUUCGCGUAGUAGGAGAAAAAGGGCGAGGACAGAGAGGGAGAAGAGAGAGGAGGCCAUGCAAAUGGAAAGAAAAACGGAGUUGG
rnacentral:misc_RNA from 1 species